rnacentral:rRNA from 1 species
ACGCUCGACACCUACGAGGCAGCAGUUGGGAAUAUUGGACAAUGGAGGAAACUCUGAUCCAGUGACGCCGCGUGAAGGAAGAAGGUCUUCGGAUUGUAAACUUAUUUUGUCAGGGAAGAAAAAAUGACUGUACCUGAAGAAAAAGCACCGGCUAACUACGUGCCUGCAGCCGCGGUAAUCUGAGCGGGCUGGCAAGGC